UACGUAGGGUGCGAGCGUUAAUCGGAAUUACUGGGCGUAAAGCGUGCGCAGGCGGUGCACCAAGCUCGAUGUGAAAGCCCCGGGCUUAACCUGGGAAUUGCAUUGAGGACUGGUGUGCUCAAGUGCGGCAGAGGGGGGUGGAAUUCCACGUGUAGCAGUGAAAUGCGUAGAGAUGUGGAGGAACACCGAUGGCGAAGGCAGCCUCCUGGGCCGACACUGACGCUGAGGGCACGAAAGCGUGGGGAGCAAACAGG
rnacentral:rRNA from 1 species